CCGUCACAACGGCUUCCUGACGUGGCGGAUUACACAUAUUGGAGCA
rnacentral:ncRNA from 1 species